UACGGAGGGGGCAAGCGUUGUUCGGAGUUACUGGGCGUAAAGCGAGCGCAGGUGGUUUAAUAAGUCUGAUGUAAAAGGCAGUGGCUCAACCAUUGUGUGCAUUGGAAACUGUUAGACUUGAGUGCAGUAGAGGAGAGUGGAAUUCCAUGUGUAGCGGUGAAAUGCGUAGAUAUAUGGAGGAACACCGGUGGCGAAAGCGGCUCUCUGGACUGUAACUGACACUGAGGCUCGAAAGCGUGGGUAGCAAACAGG
rnacentral:rRNA from 1 species